AUUGAACGCUGGCGGCAUGCCUUACACAUGCAAGUCGAACGGCAGCACGGGAGCAAUCCUGGUGGCGAGUGGCGAACGGGUGAGUAAAGUAUCGGAACGUGCCCAGUCGUGGGGGAUAACGUAGCGAAAGUUACACUAAUACCGCAUACGAUCUAUGGAUGAAAGCGGGGGAUCGCAAGACCUUGCGCGAUUGGAGCGGCCGAUAUCAGAUUAGGUAGUUGGUGGGGUAAAGGCUCACCAAGCCGACGAUCUGUAGCUGGUCUGAGAGGACGACCAGCCACACUGGGACUGAGACACGGCCCAGACUCCUACGGGAGGCAGCAGUGGGGAAUUUUGGACAAUGGGCGCAAGCCUGAUCCAGCCAUGCCGCGUGCAGGAUGAAGGCCUUCGGGUUGUAAACUGCUUUUGUACGGAACGAAAAGGUUUGGCCUAAUAAGCUGAGCUCAUGACGGUACCGUAAGAAUAAGCACCGGCUAACUACGUGCCAGCCGCCGCAGUAA
rnacentral:rRNA from 1 species